rnacentral:tRNA from 1 species
GGAGAGAUAGCGAAGAGGCUAAACGCGACGGACUGUAAAUCCGCUCCUUCGGGUUCGGGGGUUCGAAUCCCUCUCUCUCCA